AGCGAACGCCGGCGGCAGGCCUAACACAUGCAAGUCGAACGAAGUCUUCGGACUUAGUGGCGGACGGGUGAGUAACACGUGGGAACGUACCUUUUGGUUCGGAACAACUCAGGGAAACUUGAGCUAAUACCGGAUGAGCCCUUAGGGGGAAAGAUUUAUCGCCGAAAGAGCGGCCCGCGUUAGAUUAGCUAGUUGGUGAGGUAAAGGCUCACCAAGGCUACGAUCUAUAGCUGGUCUGAGAGGAUGAUCAGCCACACUGGGACUGAGACACGGGCCAGACGCCUACGGGAUGCAGCAGUGGGGAAUCUUGCGCAAUGGGCGAAAGCCUGACGCAGCCAUGCCGCGUGAAUGAUGAAGGUCUUAGGAUUGUAAAAUUCUUUUACCAGGGACGAUAAUGACGGUACCUGGAGAAAAAGCCCCGGCUAACUUCGUGCCAGCCGCCGCAGUAAAAC
rnacentral:rRNA from 1 species